rnacentral:rRNA from 1 species
AGCGAACGCUGGCGGCAGGCCUAAUACAUGCAAGUCGAACGGAUCCUUCGGGAUUAGUGGCGGACGGGUGAGUAACACGUGGGAACGUGCCCUUUGGUUCGGAACAACUCAGGGAAACUUGAGCUAAUACCGGAUAAGCCCUUCGGGGAAGGAUUUAUCGCCAUUGAGCGGCCCGCGUCUGAUUAGCUAGUUGGUGGGGUAAAGGCCUACCAAGGCGACGAUCAGUAGCUGGUCUGAGAGGAUGAUCAGCCACACUGGGACUGAGACACGGCCCAGACUCCUACGGGAGGCAGCAGUAGGGAAUCUUGCGCAAUGGGCGAAAGCCUGACGCAGCCAUGCCGCGUGAAUGAUGAAGGUCUUAGGAUUGUAAAAUUCUUUCAGCGGGGACGAUAAUGACGGUACCCGCAGAAGAAGCCCCGGCUAACUUCGUGCCAGCCGCCGCGGUAA